UGCUACAAUGGGUAGUACAGAGGGUUGCCAAGCCGUAAGGUGGAGCUAAUCCCUUAAAGCUACUCUCAGUUCGGAUUGUAGGCUGAAACUCGCCUACAUGAAGCUGGAGUUACUAGUAAUCGCAGAUCAGAAUGCUGCGGUGAAUGCGUUCCCGGGUCUUGUACACACCGCCCGUCACACCACGGGAGUUGGAGACGCCCGAAGCCGAUUAUCUAACCGUUUGGAAGAAGUCGUCGAAGGUGGAAUCAAUAACUGGGGUGAAGUCGUAACAAGGUAGCCGUAUCGGAAGGUGCGGCUGGAUCACCUCCUUUCUAAGGAGA
rnacentral:rRNA from 1 species